rnacentral:rRNA from 1 species
CCUACGGGAGGCAGCAGUGGGGAAUAUUGCGCAAUGGGCGAAAGCCUGACGCAGCGACGCCGCGUGAGGGAUGAAGGUCUUCGGAUCGGAAACCUCUGUUAGUAGGGAAGUACGGUCCCUGUGCUAAUCAGCAGUGAAUUUACGGUACCAGAAGUAGAAGCCCAGGUUAAUUACGUGCCAGGAGCCGCGGUAAAACGUAGGGGGCAAGCGUUCACCGGAUUUACUGGGUGUAAAGGGGGCGCAGACGGCGCUGCAAGCAAGGAGUGAAAGCCCGGGGCCCAACCCCGGAACUGCUCUUGUAACUGCGUGGCUGGAGUGCAGGAGGGGCAGGCGGAAUUCCUGGUGUAGCGGUGAAAUGCGUAGAUAUCAGGAAGAACACCGAUGGCGAAGGCGGCCUACUGGACUGCAACUGACGUUGAGGCCCGAAAGCGUGGGUAGCAAACAGGAUUAGAUACCCGAGUAGUC